UUUAUUUCCUGAUCCAUUAUAUAUACACAUGGAUUUCGAAAAGUCUGCUAUGAGCGCGGUUAAAACUGUCAUUGGAGAUCAAAUCAUAAGAGGAUGCUUUUACCAUUUGGUCAAGGUACCCAUAGAAAAAUUUAAAGCUAGUUCUAGAAAGCCAAUAUAGAAUCGAUGAAGCUUUAAGCUUCUUUUGUGGCAUGAUGGACAGCUUAGCAUUUGUUCCUUUAAGUGAUAUGGGCAAUGCAAUGGCAUUCCUUAGAUCGGUUACUCCGAACAAUGGGAGGUCACAAGAAGCAAUUCUCAAUCCCAGACAGGUCGAAUUGGGCCUCGAUUUCCUCGAGAAACUUGAAUCAGAGCACUCUAUCUAACUAAUAACUCAAAUAAUCAAUGCGAAGGUUCGAAUCAUCGUUUUUCUAAUCUGGUUGGGAAUAAACACCCAUCAAUCUGGGUAUUGAUUUUAAAAAAUGAAAUGCGAGGUGGCUGCCGAUGAAACCAAACUUGAACGAUGGCGUAUAGGUAGUUAGACAUUGAAAACAAAAUCGCAGUGUUUAAACAAGAAAAAAUGCUGAUAUUCAAAUUGGUACUAGGAAAACAAA